rnacentral:rRNA from 1 species
GACGAACGCUGGCGGCGUGCUUAACACAUGCAAGUCGAACGGAAAGGCCCUGCUUUUGUGGGGUGCUCGAGUGGCGAACGGGUGAGUAACACGUGAGUAACCUGCCCUUGACUUUGGGAUAACUUCAGGAAACUGGGGCUAAUACCGGAUAGGAGCUCCUGCUGCAUGGUGGGGGUUGGAAAGUUUCGGCGGUUGGGGAUGGACUCGCGGCUUAUCAGCUUGUUGGUGGGGUAGUGGCUUACCAAGGCUUUGACGGGUAGCCGGCCUGAGAGGGUGACCGGCCAAGUUGGGACUGAGAUACGGCCCAGACUCCUACGGGAGGCAGCGGUGGGGAAUAGUGCACAAUGGGCGGAAGCCUGAUGCAGCAACGCCGCGUGCGGGAUGACGGCCUUCGGGUUGUAAACCGCUUUCGCCUGUGACGAAGCGUGAGUGACGGUAAUGGGUAAAGAAGCACCGGCUAACUACGUG